UAAAUUACUGUUCAGUACUUUUUUAACAAAACGUUUUUUUUCCAGGAAGAAGAAGAGAGAUGGUGGAGCUGAAGUAGUCAGACAAAAUCAGCAGGAGGAUCCUGUUGGCAGAUCUGCAGAAACGUCUCCGAUCAAUAAUGUUCCAGUGCAUUCAGUAGUAUCAACCAAUCAGAGGGAUGAUCUGUAUGCCAACAUUAAAAAGAAGGAACCCAAACCCAAAGACUCUGGAGAUGUUGAAGAUGUUCAGUAUGCCAGUGUCAAUCACAUGAGCAAGACUGAAGAGACCACUGAGAUGCAACAGCCGUCUGAUGCCAACAGAGCUGAGGAUGUGAUCUACAGCUCAGUGAAAUGA
ensembl:lncRNA